rnacentral:rRNA from 1 species
UACCUGCAGCUCAAGUGGUGACCGCUAUUAUCGGGCCUAAAACGUCCGUAGCCGGCUAAGUAAAUGCCUGGGUAAAUCGUGUCGCUUAACGAUACGAAUUCCGGGUAGACUGCUUAGCUUGAGACUGGGAGAAGCUAGAGGUACUCCUGGGGUAGAGGUGAAAUUCUGUAAUCCUGGGGGGACCACCAGUGGCGAAAGCGUCUAGCUAGAACGGGUCUGACGGUGAGGGACGAAACCCUGGGGCGCGAACCGGAUUAGAUACCCGGGUAGUCCAGGGCGCAAACGCUGCUUGCUUGAUGUUAGCUGGGCUCCGAGCUCAGCUAGUGUCGGAGAGAAGUUGUUAAGCAAGCUGCCUGGGAAGUACGAUCGCAAGAUUGAAACUUAAGGAAUUGGCGGGGGAGCACAGCAACGGGUGGAGCGUGCGGUUU